rnacentral:rRNA from 1 species
AUUGAACGCUGGCGGCAGGCCUAACACAUGCAAGUCGAGCGAGCGGCGGACGGGUGAGUAAUGUCUGGGAAACUGCCUGUUGGAGGGGGAUAACUACUGGAAACGGUAGCUAAUACCGCAUAACAUCCGAUGUGCCCAGGUGGGAUUAGCUAGUAGGUGGGGUAACUGCCCACAUAGGCGACGAUCCCUAUCUGGUCUGAGAGGAUGACCAGCCACACGGGAACUGAGACACGGUCCAGACUCCUACGGGAGGCAGCAGUGGGGAAUAUUGCGAAAUGGGCGAAAGCCGGAUGCAGCCAUGCCGCGUGAGUGAAGAAGGCCUUCGGGUUGUAAAGCACUUUCAGCGGGGAUGCGUUACCCGAAGAGGAAGCACCGGCUAACUCCGUGCCAGCAGCCGCGGUAAUAC